AGCGAACGCUGGCGGCAGGCCUAACACAUGCAAGUCGAGCGGCAGCGGGAAAGUAGCUUGCUACUUUUGCCGGCGAGCGGCGGACGGGUGAGUAAUGCCUGGGAAAUUGCCCAGUCGAGGGGGAUAACAGUUGGAAACGACUGCUAAUACCGCAUACGCCCUACGGGGGAAAGCAGGGGACCUUCGGGCCUUGCGCGAUUGGAUAUGCCCGGGUGGGAUUAGCUAGUUGGUGAGGUAAUGGCUCACCAAGGCGACGAUCCCUAGCUGGUCUGAGAGGAUGAUCAGCCAGACUGGAAUUGGGACACGGGCCAGACUCCUACGGGAGGCAGCAGUGGGGAAUAUUGCACAAUUGGGGAAACCCUGAUGCAGCCAUGCCGCGUGUGUGAAGAAGGCCUUCGGGUUGUAAAGCACUUUCAGCGAGGAGGAAAGGUUGAUGCCUAAUACGUAUCAACUGUGACGUUACUCGCAGAAGAAGCACCGGCUAACUCCGUGCCAGCCGCCGCCGUAAGAC
rnacentral:rRNA from 1 species